rnacentral:lncRNA from 12 species
ACUCGACAAUGAUGUGGGCUGCAGCUGGGCAUGGAGACAGAGCAGAGAACAAGGCAGCAGCUCUCCAGGAUGCACAGCAUCUCCAUCAGGACUGCACUUCAUACACCUGUAGAGUUUUAUACAGGUGGAGAGCCCUGCACUGCUCACCCAGAGGCUGCAGCAAGCAUAGACCGCCCAGGGUCAUCCAGCUCUGUUUACCCAGAAACUGUGGAAGUUCUCUCCCCAUUUGUGAUUUUCUGGUGGCUGUUUGCCAUUCCCACUUCCGGGGCUGCCUGUUGGAGCUUUGCAGCUUGGCAAGAUGAGAAGCAGGAACGGCAGAUCCGCCCAACUCGCAGAGUUCAGGGCAGGUUUUUCUCGAGUUUUUGAUGGUUUGAGUUGGUUUUUCUUGUUCUGUACCAGUUCUUCCACCAUCUGUGCA